rnacentral:rRNA from 1 species
AUCCUGGCUCAGGAUGAACGCUGGCGGCGUGCCUAAUACAUGCAAGUCGAGCGAACAGAUAAGGAGCUUGCUCCUUUGACGUUAGCGGCGGACGGGUGAGUAACACGUGGGUAACCUACCUAUAAGACUGGAAUAACUCCGGGAAACCGGGGCUAAUGCCGGAUAACAUUUAGAACCGCAUGGUUCUAAAGUGAAAGAUGGUUUUGCUAUCACUUAUAGAUGGACCCGCGCCGUAUUAGCUAGUUGGUAAGGUAACGGCUUACCAAGGCAACGAUACGUAGCCGACCUGAGAGGGUGAUCGUG